UACGAGGGGGGCGAGCGUUGUUCGGAAUUAUUGGGCGUAAAGGGCGCGUAGGCGGUCGGAUAAGUCUUGUGUGAAAUCUUCGGGCUCAACUCGAAGUCUGCACAGGAAACUAUCUGGCUUGAGUGUGGGAGAGGUGAGUGGAAUUCCUGGUGUAGCGGUGAAAUGCGCAGAUAUCAGGAGGAACACCGGUGGCGAAGGCGGGUCUCUGGGCCGAUAUUGACGCUGAGGAGCGAAAGCGUGGGGAGCGAACAGG
rnacentral:rRNA from 1 species